rnacentral:rRNA from 1 species
GACGAACGCUGGCGGCGUGCCUAAUACAUGCAAGUAGAACGAGUUGCGAACGGGUGAGUAACGCGUGGUAACCUGCCCGCUGGAGGGGGAUAACUACUGGAAACGGUAGCUAAUACCGCAUACCAUCGGAUGUGCCCCGAUGGGAAUAGCUAGUAGGUGGGGUAACGGCUCACCUGGGGGACGAUCCCGAGCUGGUCUGAGAGGAUGACCAGCCACACUGGAACUGAUACACGGUCCAGACUCCUACGGGAGGCAGCAGUGGGGAAUAUUGCACAAUGGGCGCAAGCCUGAUGCAGCCAUGCCGCGUGUAUGAAGAAGGCCUUCGGGUUGUAAAGUACUUUCAGCGGGGAGGCGUUACUCGCAGAAGAAGCACCGGCUAACUCCGUGCCAGCAGCCGCGGUAAUUC